AACGAACGCUGGCGGCAUGCCUAACACAUGCAAGUCGAACGGGAUCCUAGCUUGCUAGGUGAGAGUGGCGGACGGGUGAGUAACACGUGGGAAUCUGCCUUUUGGUUCGGGAUAACCGCGGGAAACUGCGGCUAAUACCGAAUGCCCUCGUGAGAGGAAAGAUUUAUCGCCAGAAGAGGAGCCCGCGUCCGAUUAGGUAGUUGGUGGGGUAAAGGCCUACCAAGCCGACGAUCGGUAGCUGGUCUGAGAGGAUGAUCAGCCACACUGGGACUGAGAUACGGCCCAGACUCCUACGGGAGGCAGCAGUGGGGAAUAUUGGACAAUGGGGGCAACCCUGAUCCAGCAAUGCCGCGUGAGUGAUGAAGGCCCUAUGGGUUGUAAACUGCUUUUAUACAAGAGAAAACCCUGGUACGUGUGCCAGGUUGAUAGUAUUGUAAGAAUAAGCAUCGGCUAACUUCGUGCCAGCAGCCGCGGUAAU
rnacentral:rRNA from 1 species